UGCGUAGGCGGAUGAAUAAGUCAGUGGUGAAAGGCUGCAGCUUAACUGUAGACUUGCCGUUGAUACUGUUUAUCUUGAGUAUGGUCAAGGCAGGCGGAAUGUGUAAUGUAGCGGUGAAAUGCUUAGAUAUUACACAGAACACCGAUUGCGAAGGCAGCUUGCUGGGCCAUUACUGACGCUGAUGCACGAAAGCGUGGGGAGCGAACAG
rnacentral:rRNA from 1 species